rnacentral:rRNA from 1 species
UUCUGGCAUCGAUGAAGAACGCAGCGAAAUGCGAUAAGUAAUGUGAAUUGCAGAAUUCAGUGAAUCAUCGAAUCUUUGAACGCACAUUGCGCCCGCCAGUAUUCUGGCGGGCAUGCCUGUCCGAGCGUCAUUUCAACCCUCAGGCCCUGGUUGCCUGGU